UUGAGUAAAACUACUAAUAUUAUUAUAGAUACUUAAAGUAAAAAGUCAUUAAACGAGAGCUUAAACUAAAAAUUAUUUAUAACAUUAAAAGUCGAGGCAACUUUGGAUGCUGAUUCUCGAAAAUUAAAUGCAAAGCAAUAAGCCUUUCUAAAUGCGUAUGAGCCCGUUUAACAAAAAAAAAAUUCUGUUGGUAAAUUUAAGUAUUAUUUAAUCUCGUGCAACUUUGGAAAAGUAAAUAACGUGUAAAAUAACAUUUUGGUAUUAUUAAUCUUUCCUUGGCCUUAAAUCGUCGUCACUCGUCAAGUAAUUAAUUCAACUUAUAUUAAAGUUCACUUUGCAAACAACUUUAAUAAAUAGAAAGGCAGUGUUUGUUUUUCUUAAAAUAAUAGGAGGAUUGGAUGCGUGAAAGUCUGUCUGCGCUUACUCUAAUAAAAUGGCGAAGCCAAUAAGCUUAACGCUCUUUAAAAUUAAAAAGCAAUGUGCCGAUUUUAAAUUUUAUAACACUCUCCUAAAAAAGCUUAGCCACCUCCGUUCUGUUUGCGAAUUCCCUUCCGGUCUCCUUCAAGUGGUGAAUUGCCAAGAAAAAAACACAAGUUAACUACUGCGGCGGUGCGGAGGGCCGGAAACGACGACGCCCAACAUGGCGUUCCUGCGAGUUGCGUGGCAGACGACCCUCCCCCCGAGCUCUCCGUAGAGGUAAGUAGAGCCGGAACCAAGGCUUAACUUUCCUUCAACCGAGCCCCGUCGUAGUCCAAAUGGUAAGGCCGGAGGCGCUGAGAAAUGGGAUUAAAAAUAAAAAAAUUAAUUUAGUAUCAACAGAA